rnacentral:rRNA from 1 species
CUGACUGCUAUUUGGGUGAGGAUAAACCAUGCGAGUUGUAUGGGAUACCUAAAAUUCCCAUGGCGAACUGCUUAGUAACACAUGAUCAACUUACCCUAUAGAGAAAAAUAACCUCGGGAAACUGAGGAUAAUGUUUCAUAGUUGAAUAGGCUUGGAAAAGUUUUUCAAUGAAUGGGAUAAGGAAAAUGGUUCUUAUCUGCCAUAGGAUAGGAUCGUGGUCGAUUAUGGUUGUUGGUGAGGUAACGGCUCACCAAGCCGAUAAUCGAUAGGGGCCGUGAGAGCGGGAGCCCCAAGAUGGGUACUGAGACAACGACCCAGGCCUUACGAGGCGCAGCAGGUGCGAGACCUCCGCAAUACACGAAAGUGUGACGGGGUUACCCAAAGUGUUCUCUUUUGAACUGUGGUAGGUGAGUAAUGUCCCCUACUAGAAAGGAGAGGGCAAGGCUGGUGCCAGCCGCCGCGGUAAAACCAGCUCUUCAAGUGGUCGGGAUAAUUAUUGGGCUUAAAGUGUCCGUAGCCGGUUUAGUAAGUUCCUGGUAAAAUCGGAUAGCUUAACUAUCCGCAUGCUAGGAAUACUGCUAUACUAGAGGGCGGGAGAGGUCUGAGGUACUAUAGGGGUAGGGGUGAAAUCUUAUAAUCCUUGUAGGACCACCAGUGGCGAAGGCGUCAGACUGGAACGCGCCUGACGGUGAGGGACGAAAGCCAGGGGAGCGAACCGGAUUAGAUACCCGGGUAGUCCUGGCCGUAAACGAUGCAUACUAGGUGAUGGUACGGCCGUGAGCCGUAUCAGUGCCGUAGGGAAACCGUUAAGUGUGCCGCCUGGGAAGUACGGUCGCAAGGCUAAAACUUAA